UCUUGGAUAAAAAGCCCAAAUCUCCAGCUGACCCCAAGACCCAAGCUCCAUCUAGGUCUGCCUCAAGGAAUUCACGUAUUCGGAUUUUUGCACGCGGCCAAGAACUCACUGAAGAGACUUACCACCUCCAAAAUACAAAUCCAUCGUUCACACCCGCGAACCGAUACAUGACAAUCGAAGAAUUCCAGUAAUUUCUUUCGCCAUUUCACGAACCGAAUUCGUAUUCGGAUUCAUCGUCGAGUCGAAUUCAAGUUCAUCUAUCCUUUCACAUGAAUUAACGAGGUUGAAGGAAGAAGGGAACCUACCCGUUCAUUCCGACGUGGCUGAUGAAGAGGUCUAUGUUCCGUUGUGCUGAAGAUGAAAGUGUGAGGUCGCAUGACGACGGAGAUGAGGAGCGAAGCUGCGUGGAUUUGUCUCUUAUAUACUCAGGUUUCAGUUAUUUCUAUUUCAUCUCUGUAACCAGCUUCAUCUUAGUGCGAAAUCGGAACCAGGUUAUGCUCGAGUCAAGCUUCGCACGUGGAAUCAAAGGGAAGCGAUGCGGAUUUGCUCAACAGAUUCUCAUCGGUUACAGAAGAAUAAACAGAAGAAUACUCAUGGGGUCGGAAUUGCGAUGUAGUGGUUCAGCAGGGACUUCACAGCAUGAAAAGUUGGUGGCAGCAUUAUGACAGAAGAAGGUUAAUGCAAUAGGGUUGAAGUUUGCAGAAAAUGCAGAAAUUGAUGCUCUUGCAGAAGUUGCAGAAAUCGAUCCCCUGUUGCAGGAUGAGGUGAUUCUUAUUUAUACUAAUCUCCUUCUCAAAUAUGUUGAAAAUGUUAAUGAAAUUCACUUCAAAUGUCACUGAAAUUCAAGAGUUAGUUAGGGAUAAAAAUUGUUUUGAAAUGUCAUUGAAAUUCAGUUGAAAUUUAGAAUUAGUUACAAAUGAGAAUGUUAGUUGGAAAUUCAGGUUUUGUCAAAUGACAACUGAAACUCAGAUUUAAAUGAAAUGAAAAUGAAAAUUGAAACCCAUAUUUGAAAUAAAACUGAAAUUAGCUCAAUGAAAAUCCCUUUUGCUGUUAUGUUUAGUUAGUUAUGAAGCUAGUGAUUGCAAUGGUUGGUUGGAUUAGUUAAAUGAAGUUCAAAAUGUAAUAUGAAAUUCAAGUGAAAUUUCAAAUGAGACUCGCUACUGUUUUGUGAAAUGUGACGCUAAUGAAAUGUAGUUGAAAUGCACUAUGAUGCUUUAUAAAUGCAUAACUGCCAUGUAUUUAUAUGUAAGUGAAAAAAAUUCUGCAUUGGAAUGUAAGUUGUACAAGUACAAAUGAGUUUGUUAGUUCUAUUAAUCUUAGCAUAAUUAGAGGCCAUAGAUUGGGACGGAUGGUGAUGUUUUGAAGAUGGAAGUUAAUACUUGUAGUCAUUUAGAAAUUGUGUAGCUUGUUUCAUUUGAAGUGUAAUAACCAUUGACAACUAUGUAUUCAACAUGAACUUUAAUACCAUUUCAAACAAUUUCUCCAUA